AAUCAUACUAUCCCAAAACCCAAAAAGGUGCCGCAACUCUUACCUUUUUUUUUUUUUUUUUUGCUUUUUUCUCCUCCUAUCCUAUUCCUAUCUCUCUCGUUAAUUAGGGGAACGCGUCGUCCAUUUCCACAAUACAUCAAUAAAAGUCCAAUCUUAGUUACCAUAUAUAAGUAGCAGCGGAAAGAUUUUUUGAUAGUCUCCUGUCUCCGGUCAGUAGUUUGGAAAGAAGUGCGUGUGUGCGUGUGGGCGGGCAGGCUCUCCUCCUCACAUCCACCCGAAACGCCAGCCCCCCGACGCACACGGAUUUCGAGCAACCGGAAGAAAAAAGCCCACAAAACAGAAAAGGAAUACUCUGCUAGUACUAUUUAUUAUUGUCCCAAUUAAAGAUUUUGAUUAAAUAUUGAUUGAUUUCUUCUGAACAUUAAUUAUACCUGAAGGGAAGAUUAAAAUCCGGAGUGCAUCAGCUCUGAUCGGUUCAACUAUCCUUUUCUCUUCAUUUUUCUUCGGUCGUGCAGACAAGCUGAAGUGGUAGCAGAAGCUUACUGUGUAGAAAAUGGCUGCUAUUGACAGCAUCAUAACUUCACCUCAUAGGAGAUCUCAACCUCAGAGUGGGUUUUCUUCACCAAUGCUUAAAAAACAGAUGUCACGUGGGGAUGAAUUCGGGAACUGCUCAACCCUCAUUCAGCGGCACCGCUUCCUCCUUACUGCUCUGGCUCUUCUAGCUUUUCUCUGCACUGUUUACCUCUACUUUGCAGUAACCCUGGGUGGCAGUGACUCGUGCUCUGGAUUAUCCAGGGCUCAAAAAGCAGCAUGUCAUCUGCAGCAGGCAAAGGCAGCUGUAGGCAAGGGGAAAUUGAAAUUCUUCUAGCACCAUGGUUGGCUGCUGAUUUCAUUUUGACUAUAUCACUCUUGGAACCUGGAGGAGGAAAAUCUGAGAUAUAGACUUUUGAAUAUCAAGUAGGUUAGUUUAGCCCUCACUGCUUGAGUAGGAGGAUGUGAAAUUUUUUUUUGGAAAGCCAAAUGAUAAAAUUGUAGCCGAUUAAGUGAAUUCUCCCUCGUGGAAAGGGAUAAGUUGGGUUUUGGUGAUGAGGGUUGUGUUGUCAAUCAUGGUCAUAUUAUUUUUUGUUGUUAAUAGUAAGAACGGCUUUUGUUUAGCUUUUCAUAUACUUUUAUAACCCCCUAAGCUUUGCUUCGCUUGGCUUCCAAGCUCUA